AUUGAACGCUGGCGGCAUGCUUUACACAUGCAAGUCGGACGAGUGGCGGACGGGUGAGUAAUAUAUUGGAACGUGCCUAGUAAUGGGGGAUAACCAAUCGAAAGGUUGGCUAAUACCGCAUAUUAUUCGAUCUGCCAAUAUCGGAUUAGCUAGUUGGUGGGGUAAAGGCCUACCAAGGCGAUGAUCAGUAGCGGGUCUGAGAGGAUGAUCGGCCACACUGGGACUGAGACACGGUCCAGACUCCUACGGGAGGCAGCAGUGGGGAAUUUUGGACAAUGGGAGCAAGCCUGAUACAGCCAUGCCGCGUGUCUGAAGAAGGCCUUCGGGUUGUAAAGGACUUUUGUUAGGGAAGCGGUACCUAAAGAAGAAGCACCGGCUAACUACGUGCCAGCAGCCGCGGUAAUAC
rnacentral:rRNA from 1 species